rnacentral:lncRNA from 1 species
UUUCAAGCUGCAGAAAACACGGAUGAUCUUGGAAGGACUAACUUUAAUUACGACCUCCCGGUAACCUUUAACCCCAAGGUCAGCAGCCAUCUUUCUUCUGUCAAUGUGGCAGUGUCAGCCAUCUUAAAGCCCUGUUAGGCUACUGGCAGCCAUCUUUGAUUAAACACCUGUCCAUCAUACACAAGAUUUCAACUUGGAGACCCACACAGGGUUUGGGAAGCAUUCAAAAUGAAACGAAAGAAAAUGCCAAGGAUGAGAUUACACAGGAACAGAGAAAGAGGCAAAUUGUGUACCUGUUCAGAAUGAAAACUGAAUGGGCCAGCAAACAGCUGCGACAAUAAUCGACGCACAACCUCUCUCUCUCUCUGGAAUGAUCAACUUUCUUAAUUCCAAGAACCAUUUCAGAUAGAAAACCUUUGGAAUAAACCAUAAGGGGAAAAUCACAUGUGUUUUAAGAGAUUUGGACAUUCCUCCCGGACUGAGAUUUAAGGACAAAAUGAAGAACAUCACACCAUCCAUCUUCCAACCCCUUCUUCCAAUUUAGGAUCCUAGGGGACCUGGAGCCUAUCCUGGCAAGCAACAAGUGCAAGGCAGGAUACACCCUGGAUGGGACGCUAGUCCAUCGCUUGACACACACUGACACACACUGACACAAACACACUCACACUAGGGCCAUGUUUCCGAGAAGCCAAUUAAAUUACCAGUAUGUUUUGGACUGUGGGAGGAAACCAGAGCACCCGGAGGAAAAUCAUGCAAACUAAGGUAGAACAUGUGAACUCCACACAGAUUAUAUCCCUUGUCCAGUACUGAGCCCAGGGCCCCAGAGUGGUGAGGCAGCAAAACUAAUAACUAAACUAACCACUGCCUAAAAGGAGGAUACAUCAGAGAAAAUAAAAUGGAUGUACAGGAACCCCAGCAAAACUUCUUAAGUGUACAAUAUGACAUCUUGCAGUUUACUGAGUAAUGAAAUAUUACUUUUCUU